CAGUCGCCACGGGAAUACGAAGGGGGCUAGCGUUGCUCGGAAUUACUGGGCGUAAAGGGCGCGCAGGCGGACAGUUCAGUCGGGGGUGAAAGCCCGGGGCUCAACCUCGGAAUUGCCUUCGAUACUGGCUGUCUUGAGUAUGAGAGAGGUGUAUGGAACUCCGAGUGUAGAGGUGAAAUUCGUAGAUAUUCGGAAGAACACCAGUGGCGAAGGCGGCUUACUGGCUCAUACUGGACGCUGAGGUGCGAAAGCGUGGGGAGCAAACAGGAUUAGAUACCCCUGUAGUCCCUGUCUCUUAUAA
rnacentral:rRNA from 1 species